AUCACUCAAAACACAUACGCAAAGUCUGUCCGAAAGCUGUUAAAUGCUUCCUUCACAGGCAGUAUUUGAAGUGCUCCGGCGUCUACAAAAACCCAGCAUGCUUGCUCUGAUCCUCAACUUCUGCCCUCACCCCCUGCUCAGCUGCCAUCAUCAGUUUACCAGUUUAUUGUGACUUCACCCUGACCAGGACUUCAACCAGAUGUGAUUCUACACCUUGCAACUCAAGUGAUUGGUACAGACUCUUUCAGGAAGAGGAAUUCCGUCUAAUAACAUACAGGGAAUGUUCAAAGGCUGACCGAUUGUAGUUGUGACAAUUGGUGCACCUUCAGCUAAUAAUGGUG